rnacentral:rRNA from 1 species
UGGGGAAUAUUGGACAAUGGGCGCAAGCCUGAUCCAGCCAUGCCGCGUGAGUGAUGAAGGCCCUAGGGUUGUAAAGCUCUUUCACCGGUGAAGAUAAUGACGGUAACCGGAGAAGAAGCCCCGGCUAACUUCGUGCCAGCAGCCGCGGUAAUACGAAGGGGGCUAGCGUUGUUCGGAUUUACUGGGCGUAAAGCGCACGUAGGCGGACUAGUAAGUCAGGGGUGAAAUCCCGGGGCUCAACCCCGGAACUGCCUUUGAUACUGGUAGUCUUGAGUUCGAGAGAGGUGAGUGGAAUUCCGAGUGUAGAGGUGAAAUUCGUAGAUAUUCGGAGGAACACCAGUGGCGAAGGCGGCUCACUGGCUCGAUACUGACGCUGAGGUGCGAAAGCGUGGGGAGCAAACAGG